rnacentral:rRNA from 1 species
GAUGAACGCUGGCGGCGUGCUUAACACAUGCAAGUCGAACGGUGAAGCAGAGCUUGCUCUGUGGAUCAGUGGCGAACGGGUGAGUAACACGUGAGCAACCUGCCCCUGACUCUGGGAUAAGCGCUGGAAACGGCGUCUAAUACUGGAUAUGAGCUGCGACCGCAUGGUCAGCAGUUGGAAAGAUUUUUCGGUCUGGGAUGGGCUCACGGCCUAUCAGCUUGUUGGUGAGGUAAUGGCUCACCAAGGCGUCGACGGGUAGCCGGCCUGAGAGGGUGACCGGCCACACUGGGACUGAGACACGGCCCAGACUCCUACGGGAGGCAGCAGUGGGGAAUAUUGCACAAUGGGCGAAAGCCUGAUGCAGCAACGCCGCGUGAGGGAUGACGGCCUUCGGGUUGUAAACCUCUUUUAGCAGGGAAGAAGCGAAAGUGACGGUACCUGCAGAAAAAGCGCCGGCUAACUACGUGCCAGCAGCCGCGGUAAUACGUAGGGCGCAAGCGUUAUCCGGAAUUAUUGGGCGUAAAGAGCUCGUAGGCGGUUUGUCGCGUCUGCUGUGAAAUCCCGAGGCUCAACCUCGGGUCUGCAGUGGGUACGGGCAGACUAGAGUGCGGUAGGGGAGAUUGGAAUUCCUGGUGUAGCGGUGGAAUGCGCAGAUAUCAGGAGGAACACCGAUGGCGAAGGCAGAUCUCUGGGCCGUUACUGACGCUGAGGAGCGAAAGGGUGGGGAGCAAACAGGCUUAGAUACCCUGGUAGUCCACCCCGUAAACGUUGGGAACUAGUUGUGGGGUCCAUUCCACGGAUUCCGUGACGCAGCUAACGCAUUAAGUUCCCCGCCUGGGGAGUACGGCCGCAAGGCUAAAACUCAAAGGAAUUGACGGGGACCCGCACAAGCGGCGGAGCAUGCGGAUUAAUUCGAUGCAACGCGAAGAACCUUACCAAGGCUUGACAUAUACGAGAACGGGCCAGAAAUGGUCAACUCUUUGGACACUCGUAAACAGGUGGUGCAUGGUUGUCGUCAGCUCGUGUCGUGGGAUGUUGGGUUAAGUCCCGCAACGAGCGCAACCCUCGUUCUAUGUUGCCAGCACGUAAUGGUGGGAACUCAUGGGAUACUGCCGGGGUCAACUCGGAGGAAGGUGGGGAUGACGUCAAAUCAUCAUGCCCCUUAUGUCUUGGGCUUCACGCAUGCUACAAUGGCCGGUACAAAGGGCUGCAAUACCGUGAGGUGGAGCGAAUCCCAGAAAGCCGGUCCCAGUUCGGAUUGAGGUCUGCAACUCGACCUCAUGAAGUCGGAGUCGCUAGUAAUCGCAGAUCAGCAACGCUGCGGUGAAUACGUUCCCGGGUCU